GUGGUUUUCUAUGCCCUCACCGAAGGAUUUCAUCGUUCCAGCUCUGUCUAUGACAGCUUGCGAUAUGCUGCAGAGUCUGAAAGAAAGACUGCAUCUGUUGAGAGAGCAGCUUUCACCCACUCUCUUCGAUAGGCUAUGGCAGGAUAUCUCAGGCAAGCUCAACAAGUUUUUAUUUCAAGAGGUCAUUUUUACUAACCAGUUCAAUGAAGGUGGAUCAACCCAACUUCAUUUUGAUAUGACAAGGGGUCUGUUCCCACUGUUUGGAGAAUUCACACAGCGGCCAGAGAACUUCUUUAAAGAGUAAGUUUUGUCUUAAGAGAGAAAAUGUGUUCUGACUCCUGGAUUCCAAAGUAAUAUUUAAAUGUAUAAUAUUCAUGAUGAUGCAAUGAGUGGCCAAGCAGUCUUCAUAUUUCUCCUUUUUUUCCCCAAAAGUAUGAAAGACUGCCAAAUUCUUUUUUGCACUUUCCCUGAAAUGUUCAUAAAUGUUACACAUAUUCUUUUCUUGUAAUGCACAUAGAUUUUGUAAAUGUGUCUUUGUCAAUCAGUCUGAUUUUGCUGUAUUUAGUAUGGUUUUUCAAAAAAAUUUAUACUGCCCUAUGAUUCUUCUCCACAUUUUUUACACGCAUUGGUUUACAGAAUAUUUAAUUCGCAGAGGUUGGCAGGUCUAGACUUGAAUAAUAUAGUAGAUUACUUUAAUGUUUUUUUUUUUCAUACAUAAAUGCUAGGAAAUGUUUAUAUUUAAAAAAAGGAUUGAAUCUGCUUUUUUGAUAAAACGUGAUUUAGGUCUUGUGAUAAACCUAUUUCCAAUAGAACCAUUGCAAUAAUAAUGAUAAAAAUGGAUAAAGAAGACUUGUCAAAUCAGAAUUUUACAAUUGUUUGUUUAAAUCAUUUAUUUGUUUAUUAUUGAACCUGACAAGUGCUCUACAUUAUUAAAUGAUUUUCAUUUGCUAGUGGCUUUUCGCAAAUAUUUAAAGAAUUGACUGGUGUCAAGUCAUGCAUUGUUGCACUUCCUCAAAAAUAAAUCUUGUUCUAUGAAUUCUGCUUUAGAUAUUGCACCUUGAAAGUUGAAGGAAAACAGUGUUUAAAUAGCAUUGAGAAUUCAAGAUUGACAUUUGAAGAAGGCUGUAAGGGUUCAUGAAGUGUUUCACAUUGGAGAGUAAUCCUUGAUAUGAGGAUUUGAUUAUUGCAUUGUUUGUGACAUUGGGUGUUGCUCAAGUAUGGAUUUAUUAUUAAGGGAAACCUUGUGAAACUAAAGAGACGGAGAGUGAGAAAGAUUAAGAAACAGAGACAGAGAGGGGUCGAAGCGGACAAAGGGGGGCGGGGGGAGUGGAGGAAUGAGAGAGACAGGUGGAGAGAGAGCAUUCAGGGAGACAUAACAUGAACUAGGUCCAUAUAUUUUCUAAGCUAUGAUGACAUUUUAAAAACUUAACCUUAGGUUAAGAUUUUGAUGUUGAUUCCCCCAACAUGGUUUAAGUUCAUUGACCUUAAAUGACCUUUGACCUUGGUCAUGUGACCUGGUUAAGAUUUCAUUGUUGACAAUGCACCGUCGCUGUUGCCGCCAUUGGAAAAGUGGCACCUAUAGUCUUACUCUGCUAUGCAGACGAGACAAAAAUAAAAACAGAUGAAAGUCAGUUUCAUAUGAUACAAGAAGAAAUUUGAGAGAGAUCAAGAGAGAGAGAGGGAGGUUGGGAGAUGAGGAUAUGGGGAGUCUAUAUUUUUUCAACAAUAUUUUGAUGUUAUUUAUUAUUUCAUAAAAUGUGAACAAGGCUAAUAGAACACAGAUAUAUAAACUUGAGUUUAAGUUUUUGAAUGAUUAAUUUUUACCUCAUUUGAGCAAGUCUCAUUUUCAUGUAAUAAAGACAAGAUCUUUUUUUUUUACUUGUUUAGUCAUCCAAAUGCCUUUUAUUGAGUCAAAUGAUUUCACAACAUACACAAGCAAAAAAUUAUUACACAAUCAAUUAAGGAAUAAUGAAUAAUACUUCACAUUUCUUUCAAUUAAAUGAAGAAUGAAGUGACAUCCAGACAGACAAGUUCAUGGUUAGGAUACAAAAAGAAACUGAGAAAGGGGGAGACGGGAGAGAGGGACAGAGAGAGAAAGAGACAAGAAGAGAGAAGCUGAGAACGUAUAGUAGUAGAGACAGAGAGACUAAAUAUUGUUUUACAACUAGUUUUCAAUGAUUUUUGGAGUUCAUACUUGUACACCACAAGCUUUCAACACUAGGAAAAUUAAGAUCCCAGAUAUGAAUAAUUGAAUAUCAUGAUGGUUGUAGAUUUAAUUGUGCUCAAACUGUCACAACUAGGUAUUUGGGUGUGUGUGUGGUCUAACACAAUACCAAAUGAAUGUACUUUCAAUUAAGUCUCCACAAAUACUAUUUUGAAUUGGUUCAGAGUUCUAGAUUAGAUUGAACUUUUUUAAAAGGGAAGUUCACCCCAAAAAAAAGUUAGUUUUGAUAAAAGCAGAAAAUUUUGAGAUAAAUGUUAGUGAAGGUUGAUGAAAAUAUAUCAAAGAAUAUUAAAUAGAGUUAUGUUUUUUUUUGUAACAUCAUAUGUUCGCAGCUCCUCCAGAUAUCUUUAUGUAUACAUUGAUAUUAUUGAACAGCUUUGAAACCAACUUUUCCAAACCUUCUUCUUUAAUUUCUACUCUUAUUGAAACCAAUUUAUCAUCAGGGUGAUUCCCCCUUUGAAGUCUGUCUGUCAAAAGCAACCCCCACCCCCUCCCCUCAAGAAAA